rnacentral:lncRNA from 1 species
AGCCUCCGGGAUCUGCAAGUCUGGAAAGGCCACGUUGUGGACCUUGGCGCAGAGGUUAUGGGGGCGACCCGGAGCGGAUGGUUUCAGGAAAACUAGAACCCACCCUCAUGGCCUGAACAACUGGAGAGAAGAGGAUCGCAGCAAUUUAAAGCCAGCGGCAAGGAUCACAGUCCUGGGGUCAGGAAUCACCUGGCGGUCUUGUGAAACUGCAGCUUCUAAUGGGCAAGUCAGAGGGGAAGCCUGAGACAUGGCAUUUCCAGCACGUUCGGGGAGUGAAGAUGCUGUCGGCUGCCACCCUCCCUGCAAGGAGCCAGGGGAUAGAUGACCUCUACGCAAACUGUGAGAGCUUAAAAUAACUGAUAGUGAAAAACAGUUACAGAAGCUCUAGGCCGGGCACGGUGGCUAAUGCCUGUAAUCCCAGCACUUUGGGAGGCCGAGGAGGAUGGAUUGCCAGAACUCAGGAGUUUGAGACCAGCCUGGGCAACACGGUAAAACCCUGUCUCUACGACAAAAUAAAACAAACAAAAAUAAAAGCCACGCAUGGUGGCGUGUGCUUGUAGUCCCAGCUACUCAGGAGGCUCAGGUGGGACAAUCGCUUGAGCAUGGAAGGAGGAGGUUGCAGUGAGCCAAGAUCGCACCACUGUACUCCAACCUGAGUGACAGAGUGAGACCCAAUCUCAAAAAAAAAAAAAAGCAGUAAAUCCAGGGCCCAAAAGCUCCCCUCAAUGGGAAGUAGAAUCUCUUUCUCCACCUCUUCAAUAUGGCUGGCCCUGGAACUUCCCUUGGCACACAGAAUGCAGCAGAAUUGGCUUCAUGUUGUUUCUAAGCCUUGGCCUCAGAGGCCUUGCAUGCUUCCUAACCCUGGCUCUAGGAAACUUGCUGCUGUCAUGUAAGCAAGCCCAGGCUAACCUACUGAAUGUUGGUGUGUCCCAGUCAAAUCCAGCACUGCAACCAAUAGCCAGGCAGCCACCAGACAUGUGAGUGGGGCCACCUCACACCAGCCAACCUCCACCAAGUCAUCAGAUGUAUGAGUGAGAACAGCCCAGAACAACUGAGCCCGUCCAGACCAGCGGAACAACCAAGCUGACCAGUAGACUUAGGAGCAGUAAACAGAUGAUUGUUAUGGAAGCCAUUCUGUUUAGGGUGUGUGUGUUAUUGCUUGCAUCCAAAUACAUCCUAUCUCAUCUAAUGAGAAAAGGCCCUGCUCAAGGGCUUUUGCAGCUGUAGUUGGGCGCCGGAAGUGUCUUUGUGGUCAUUUCUUACUCCAUACACGGGGAGAUCAAGGCUCAGACCAGGUAGUGUGACUGUGGACAACACUUUCCUUACCCCUCUGUGACACUUAAAUCAAUGAAGCAGAUUCACAGAAGCAUGCAUGCUCACUGAACACAGUAUUUGCAUUCCUACCUCCAAACCUUUGCUCCACCCAUGCAUCCAGUAAGAAUGCCUACUUCCCUCCUCUCCUCCAUCGAGUUCUUUCUUUGAGUUCUACCUUCCCUAGUCUUCCUCCACUGCACCAACCCACGGUGAUCCCUGUCUCUUCCAAAUGCUUUGUAACAUGGUAGGCAUCACUCACUUGUGACUCAUUGGACCAUUUUAAAACUUGGUUUUCUGUGUCUCUUUUCCAACAAAAUUACAAAUUCUUUGAGGGUAAAAGUCAGGCCUAAUAGUUCUCUGUACUCCUAGUAGUGCCAGUGUGGUAAAAAUUUAACUUGACAAUUAGCAAAACCAAUAAAUUCCUUACACUAUUCUGUUCCUGUAGGUAAUCAGUAUAUGAAUAUGGAUUCCUAUGUGAUGAUUUUCUGGUCUAUUUUGUCCCUUUUUUUUUUUUGUUACUUUAACCAGGCCAUAACAUAAAGGUUAUGCCAUUUGUUACUGUCAAGCUUAAUUAAGCCCAUUAUAAUUCGUUAACCCCUGUGCUUGCUUUGUAAUUAACAUUGAUUAACACAAACAAGUACAAAAUAGGCCAUCAGCACUUUCCAGAAGUGCUGAUUACAAUUACAUUGGUAAUUCAAUACGGUAUAGAAGAUGGCAGGAUAGUAACUUGCACUCUGUUUACAUAAGGAGACAAAUGCUACCAUGCAAAACUAAGCCAAGAAACAAAAUACUUUCCUCAUCCAACUCACUGAUUAAACCCUUACCCUGUUAACUCACCCUAUGACUGUGUAAACCUCCAGUAAGAUUAUUGAAGGCACAGCUCCAAGUAACUUGCUUAAUUGCAUUCCUGGGACAAAAGAGGGAAGCGCUUCAAAGCUGACAGACAGAUGGUAGAGUGUCCAGUCACAGCAAAGCAGGCCCCGAGGCUCAUGACAGACAACUCCAGGGCUGAGAUCUCAUUUGUAGCUCUGGGAUAAAGUCCAGGGUUUGAUGGCAGCAGGCUGAAGUGUAAAGAUGCUCAACAAUGCGCACCCCAGAGACACUGAAUCUGAAAAAGCUUAGAGUGAAUAAAAAUCUGGAAAUGAACUCUGUCUGUCUAUUCACCAUUCCCCCCAUAAAAAAAUUCCUAUAUUCCGGAUGGUGUUCAAGUUCCCUUUCCACAGGACCUCAGCAGUCAGGGAGGUGCUCCUGCAAUCUAUGUGAAGGAGAUUUCACCAUGCCCACAUGGGAAUACAGUAGAUUGCCAGUAGGGAUGCCACACCUUUGCAUUUCCUCGUAUUUCCAGGAACAAAGCUGGGGUGCCUAGGAGCUGCAGCAGUUUUUCUUCUGUGUAAAAUAAGCAAGCAGGACUCUGCCCCACUGCACUCCAGGGAAGGAUUAAGAGAAUUGAUAUCAUCCAAAUCAAUUGGCCCUGUGCAGAUGACUUGAUAAUGAGGCCAUUGAGUUUUUAUGGUUCACUAUUAUUGCUACAAAAAUUAUGCUGCAGAAAUCAUUCAAAUGCUCAAAAAGGAGCAUUAGUACGAAACUGGGUGUUCCAAAGUUGUUGCUGAGAGGUGUGUAAUGUUCCUGAAGAUCCCCAAGGCACUAAGACUUCUCUGUACAUGAAUGACUCAUAGAGAAGAAAUACACCAGAUGAAAAUAUAUGGAGAAGUUUGCCGAAUGUCAUAUAACUUGUAAGUAUUAGAGCCGAGGUCUGAACCCUGAUAUCUGUGUCCUUAUAGCUCAGGCCUUUUCCUUCAGCCCCUCCUUCUCAGCAGAGAUGUGUUGGAGAAAUCACUAGAAAUGGAAGAGCAGCUGUCAGAAGCAGAAUUGAAUGAAGUGAUAGGGGAAAAACAUACAUGUUGAUACAAAUGGUCAGCCUUAAGCAAGACUGUGACAUUGAUGCAGCACAGGGAAGCCUCAAAAUUGGGACUUAGCCCAGGAGGGUUCUUGGCUUCACCCAGGAAAGAAUUCAAGGGUGAGCUGGUGGUGUUAGAAUGCAACUAUUACUGAAGUGGCAGUGUACGGCAGUAGCAGAGGCACUGCUUGCGGAGCAGGGAUACCCCAGAGGCACUGUGCCCAGAGUAGCAGCUCAGAGGCAGUUCUGCACUCAUAUUUAUAUCCACUUUUAAUUAUAUGCAAAUUAAGGGGUGGUUUAUGCAGAAAUGUCUAGGAAAGUGUGGUAACUUCUGGGUUGUUGGGUUGUUGCCAUGGAAAGGGGUGAUAACUUCUGGAUGUUGCCAUGGCACACUGAUGGGUGUGCCUUAUGGAAAGCUGGUCCUCAAUUUGGUCCAGUGUCCCAGCCCCACACUGGAGUUGAGUCCUGCCUUCUACCUCAACUUUGGUGACAUUUGUCUUUGGUGGCCAUAGCCUUUCUUUCUGCCAUUAUCAAGCACCAUACCCAAGGUCUCAUAUCCAUCCCAACAGGGUUGUAGACAGUCAUUUGAUCCUUUUCCUCAGCAUCCUAUUUUCUCUCCCUCAUACACACACACACACACACACACACACACACACUCUCUCUCUCUCUCUCUCUCUCUCUCUCUCUCUCUCUGUUGUUGCUAGUAUAAGGUACAACCAGACUUUUUUUAUCAUUUAUUUUUUAAAAUAAGAUGUGAAAUACAUUCAAUGGUGCAUAUAAAGUGUACAAAUAUUAAAUGUUCAACUGGAUGAAUUAUUUCAUAUGUAUAUACCCAUGUAACCACCACAGAUUCAGAAUGUUUCUACCUUCCUAGAAAGCUCCCUGGAAGUACAGGCUUUUUAUUUUAAAGUCAGGUGUAUUGGGAUAUCAGUUUCAUAUAGUUAUAUUCAGAGUUCUUAGUGUACAGUUUUAUGAGUUUUAACAAAUACAUACAUUUGUGUAGCUACCAAUAUAGUCAAAAUAUAGAACAGUAUCAUCACCCCAGAAAUGUCCCUGCACCCCUUUGUAGUAAAUCUCUCCUAGCCCCUGCCAACCACUAAUCUGCUUUCUGUUCCUACAGUUUGUCUUUUAUAGGAUGUCAUAUAAAUGGAAUCAUAUAUUUUGUGUCUGACUUCUUUCACUUAGUAUAAUACAUUUGAGAUUCAUCCAUGUUUCAAUAGUUCCUUUUAUUACUGAGUAGUAUUUAAUUUACCGCGGUCUGUAUGUCCAUUCACAAGUUAAAGGACAUUUGGGUGUUUCCAACUUUUGACAAUUAUG